GUGACCGAUGUCUGGAGUCCAUAGAGGGGCCCGUGUCCUGUCCCAGAUCGGAGGGCUUCCCGGCUAAAUGGCUUUGCUUUAAAAUCAGAGACAGACUGGAGGUAGAGUUCCGCCUGUAGAACCUAAUGGCCCGAGCGCACCGAGUACCCAGCACUUUUCCUACACACAAAGGGAACCGCUAGCCGAC